GACGAACGCUGGCGGCGUGCCUAAUACAUGCAAGUCGAACGCAUUUUCUUUCACCGUAGCUUGCUACACCGAAAGAAAAUGAGUGGCGAACGGGCGAGUAACACGUGGGUAACCUGCCCAUCAGCGGGGGAUAACACUUGGAAACAGGUGCUAAUACCGCAUAAUUCCAUUUACCGCAUGGUAAAUGGAUGAAAGGCGCUUUUGCGUCACUGAUGGAUGGACCCGCGGUGCAUUAGCUAGUUGGUGGGGUAACGGCCUACCAAGGCUGCGAUGCAUAGCCGACCUGAGAGGGUGAUCGGCCACACUAGGACUGAGACACGGCCCAGACUCCUACGGGAGGCAGCAGUAGGGAAUCUUCGGCAAUGGACGCAAGUCUGACCGAGCAACGCCGCGUGAGUGAAGAAGGUUUUCGGAUCGUAAAACUCUGUUGUUAGAGAAGAACAAGGAUGAGAGUGGAAAGUUCAUCCCUUGACGGUAGCUAACCAGAAAGCCACGGCUAACUACGUG
rnacentral:rRNA from 1 species